rnacentral:misc_RNA from 1 species
AGCCCAAUUAUCAACCUCGUCAGCCCUAGAAGAUGUAAAUUCCUUACUCGAAUCCCCCCUAUUAGACCCAUUACUAUUCCUCCUAUUCUCAUCAGAAACCCUAGACGAACCCCAUUUCGAAUCAGACGAAUCAUCCCCAUUAGAAUACCUAUUGUUCCUCUCAUACGAACCAUUCGAACCAUAAUUCCUGAAUCCACCACCGAGCCUGUUCCGGUCGAGCUCCUCCGCCGUCCGUUGGCGAGGGCCGGUGGGUAGUACAAUCAAAUCCUCAUGCCUGGGGCCUUGGGAAGAAGAUCUCGACCCACUAAUUCCAUAGGUGUUGAACUCAGCCAAUGAGAGAGUUUGCCCUUUCUUCUUCGGCUUGGUGGCCAAGGCGUCGUUGAGGGAAGGAAAAUCCAGGCUGAGUUCCUGCUGUUUCUGCUGUUCCUCUUCUUUAAGGAGUUGAGCUUCGUGUUCCUCGGAAUCGAGGGCCCAAGCGCCUGGUUUUCCCCAUGGAGAAA